UUGCGUUUUUUUUUAAGCACAAACCAAAAAAAAAAAAAUUGAUUACUCAUGAAUACGUUGCUAAGCAGUUCCCUGCCCCAUGUGGCACAAUAUGUAUGGCAGCUCACAAUCUUUCAGAUCAGAAGGACCCGUUCUCCUGUUCUAUGUCGAGCAUGGAAAAGAACACUUCGUGAUCCAUCUACAAUCGAAGAAAAUUCUUUCAGGCAGUGUGCUUUUUGUAAUGAAGGAUUAACACGAAUUAACAAUAAAUUUUUUAAGUUUGAAAAUGUCACAGAAAUAUUUAGGGAACACACACAUACAGGUAGAACCAGUAUCUUGUUUAUUUACCCUGACAAUUCACUAUCUUUGUGUGGUUUUAUACAGGUGUUGACUUUCAAAGCUAAAAAAAAAAAAAAAAAAAAGGAUGUAAUCCCAGCUACUCGGGAGGCUGAGGCUGAGGCUGAGGCAGGAGAAUUGCCUGAACCCAGGAGGCGGAGGUUGCAGUGAGCCAAGAUCGCACCAUUGCACUCCAGCCUGGGUAACAAGAGUGAAAUUCCGUCUCAAAAAAAAGGAAAUAUUCAAUAUUCUCUGUCUUCCCUUAAAAAAAUCCCACUGGAAUUGAACAUAGCUAUAACUUGGGUUAUACAUAUUUUAGGAUCACCUAAAAUAACCUACUAUCAAUUUAAUAUAGCAGAAGACAGUCUAGCUACAUACUUAAAACUAAUACAGAUGAAAAUCAUGAGUUUUUUUUAUGUUUAUCCAAAUAUUAUCCUGAUAUCUAUGGAGCCCCAUAUUAUUUGAAGCUAAGGUACUCCUCAUUAUAUUAUAUAUAACCCAGCAUGACAUUUUGGUGAACAUAAGAGUAACUAGCACUUCAAAGUUUUAUGUUGCCAUUCUUUUAUUUUUAACUGGAACCUGCACCUUAGAAAUGAG
rnacentral:lncRNA from 1 species